rnacentral:tRNA from 1 species
GCCCGGUUAGCUCAGUCGAUAGAGCAUCAGACUUUUAAUCUGAGGGUCCUGGGUUCAAGUCCCAUCAUCAGGCG